rnacentral:rRNA from 1 species
CACGUAGGGCGCAAGCGUUGUCCGGAAUCAUUGGGCGUAAAGAGCUCGUAGGCGGUUUGUCACGUCCGCUGUGAAAACCCAGGGCUUAACCCUGGGCUUGCAGUGGAUACGGGUAGACUAGAGGCAGGUAGGGGAGAAUGGAAUUCCCGGUGUAGCGGUGAAAUGCGCAGAUAUCGGGAGGAACACCGGUGGCGAAGGCGGUUCUCUGGGCCUGACCUGACGCUGAGGAGCGAAAGCGUGGGGAGCGAACAGG